rnacentral:rRNA from 1 species
UACGUAGGGGGCUAGCGUUGUCCGGAUUUAUUGGGCGUAAAGAGCGUGUAGGCGGCCAGGUAGGUCCGUUGUGAAAACUCGAGGCUCAACCUCGAGACGCCGAUGGAAACCAUCUGGCUAGAGUCCGGAAGAGGAGAGUGGAAUUCCCGGUGUAGCGGUGAAAUGCGCAGAUAUCGGGAAGAACACCCGUGGCUAAGGCGGCUCUCUAGUACGGUACUGACGCUGAGACGCGAAAGCGUGGGGAGCGAACAGG